UUUAAGUGCAACCAUGAGUUUUCGUAUCCAAUUUUGAUCGUCUGUCUAAUUUGAAAAUUUUUUUAAUUAGUAUUUUUGUUGUUAUGAGAUGAUAAAAUAUGAAUAACAAUUUAUACGUGAUUUAUAUUUUUAAUUUUUUUCAAAAAAUUUUUAAAUAAGGUGAACGAUUAACUAGUUGAGUACGGAAAAGCAUGACUGUACUUAAA
rfam:Oryza nivara chromosome 1, whole genome shotgun sequence.